UUUGAUAUUGGUUUCCUUUUAGAUUUUAGGCCCAAGGGCAAGUAUAUAGUACAACCAUAUUUGCAACCAAAAUCAUGGGAGUGACCAGUUUUUUCUACAACACCUUAUUCAGGACAAAUGUGAGAUACAUAACAACCAUCAUCAUUGGUGGACUGACUUUUGAACAAGUUUUCAACAGAACUACAGCACAUAUAUUCAGGAAUAAAAUCAAUGAAGGGAGAGGAUUUCCAUACUUUGAAAAGGAAUUAUUGUUGAGAAAAGCUAAUGCCGAUGAAGAAGAUGAUGAUGAGUAGUGAUGUUUGCCAUGAGACUUAACUUAUUAGAAAAUUUCUUUUCUCAACUUUUGAGUAUAUUGUUUGUUUUAUCUCAUGUCAAAUUGGUUUAACAUGUGCUGUUUGCUGGG